rnacentral:rRNA from 1 species
CAGUAGCCGCGGUAAUACGAAGGGUGCAAGCGUUAAUCGGAAUUACUGGGCGUAAAGCGUGCGUAGGCGGUUUGUUAAGUCUGUUGUGAAAUCCCCGGGCUCAACCUGGGAAUGGCAAUGGAUACUGGCAAGCUAGAGUGUGUCAGAGGAUGGUGGAAUUCCCGGUGUAGCGGUGAAAUGCGUAGAGAUCGGAAGGAACAUCAGUGGCGAAGGCGGCCAUCUGGGACAACACUGACGCUGAGGCACGAAAGCGUGGGGAGCAAACAGGAUUAGAUACCCCUGUAGUCCCUGUCUCUUAUAC